GAUGAAGAACGCAGUGAAAUGCGAUAAGUAAUGUGAAUUGCAGAAUUCAGUGAAUCAUCGAAUCUUUGAACGCACAUUGCGCCCCCUGGUAUUCCGGGGGGCAUGCCUGUCCGAGCGUCAUUACAACCCUCAAGCUCUGCUUGGUAUUGGGCCCCGCCAGUUCUGGCGGGCCCUAAAGUCAGUGGCGGUGCCUUCCGGCUCCGAGCGUAGUAAUUCUUCUCGCUCUGGAGACCCGGUUGUGUGCUUGCCAACAACCCCCAAUUUUUUAAGGUUGACCUCGGAUCAGGUAGGGAUACCCGCUGAACUUAAGCAUAUCAAUAAGCGGAGGA
rnacentral:misc_RNA from 1 species